rnacentral:lncRNA from 1 species
AGUGGGAUGUCAGCCAUAGCAGAAAUCAGAGAGCCCUGGUGAAACUUAUUAGCAAACAUUGCUUGAGAGGCUUGUCUAGGCACGAGCAAUGAAAGGAAGAAAUAAAUAUUUCAUCUUUCCUUUCUGUCCAUGGGCAAAAUAUUCAAACUUCAGAAUGAGCAAUUGCGUAAAGCUGAGUCCUGGAAGGCUGCCUGUAGGGGGCAGUAUGUGGUCUGGCCUUAAGGACAAACGGAAUUUUCACCGGAGAAGACUGUGGCGGGGGCUUUUCAGGAGGAAUGAAUAGGAAGAGUACAGGAGGCUGUAUAGCAGCAGGUGGCUUUGUUUGGUUGGAAAACACUCCAAGUGAAAAGGCAUUGUGAAGAAUGGAAGAGCUACUGAGAAACCAGCCUAUGGAGUUUGGCUGUCUCUCCUAGUCACAAAUAAGGAGCUGUUACUGGUUUUUGUCAAAAGAACAGGAUGAUCACAUCUGUGCCUUAGGACACUUUAGAUGGGGCAGAACAGGUACAGGGGAUGUGGUGGGGGAAGAAAUGACUCGAUUUCAAACAAAUCAAAUAAAUUACUUUGAUGUUUAAAAAAAAAAAAUAAAA